rnacentral:rRNA from 1 species
UACGAAGGGGGCUAGCGUUGCUCGGAAUCACUGGGCGUAAAGGGCGCGUAGGCGGCCAUUCAAGUCGGAGGUGAAAGCCCAGGGCUCAACCCUGGAAUUGCCUUCGAUACUGUUUGGCUAGAGACCGGAAGAGGUAAGUGGAACUGCGAGUGUAGAGGUGAAAUUCGUAGAUAUUCGCAAGAACACCAGUGGCGAAGGCGGCGACCUGGGUAGAUACUGACGCUGAGGUGCGAAAGCGUGGGGAGCAAACAGG